rnacentral:rRNA from 1 species
CGGUAAUUCCAGCUCCAAUAGCGUAUAUUAAAGUUGUUGCAGUUAAAAAGCUCGUAGUUGAACCUUGGGCUUGGUUGGCCGGUCCGCCUUUUUGGCGAGUACUGGACCCAACCGAGCCUUUCCUUCUGGCUAACCUUUCGCCCUUGUGGUGUUUGGCGAACCAGGACUUUUACUUUGAAAAAAUUAGAGUGUUCAAAGCAGGCCUUUGCUCGAAUAUAUUAGCAUGGAAUAAUAGAAUAGGACGUUAUGGUUCUAUUUUGUUGGUUUCUAGGACCAUCGUAAUGAUUAAUAGGGACGGUCGGGGGCAUCAGUAUUCAGUUGUCAGAGGUGAAAUUCUUGGAUUUACUGAAGACUAACUACUGCGAAAGCAUUUGCCAAGGACGUUUUCAUUAAUCAAGAACGAAGGUUAGGGGAUCGAAGAUGAUCAGAUACCGUCGUAGUCUUAACCAUAAACUAUGCCGACUAGGGAUCGGGUGUUGUUCUUUUUUUGACGCACUCGGCACCUUACGAGAAAUCAAAGUCCUUGGGUUCUGGGGGGAGUAUGGUCGCAAGGCUGAAACUUAAAGGAAUUGACGGAAGGGCACCACCAGGAGUGGAGCCUGCGGCUUAAUUUGACUCAACACGGGGAAACUCACCAGGUCCAGACACAAUAAGGAUUGACAGAUUGAGAGCUCUUUCUUGAUUUUGUGGGUGGUGGUGCAUGGCCGUUCUUAGUUGGUGGAGUGAUUUGUCUGCUUAAUUGCGAUAACGAACGAGACCUUAACCUACUAAAUAGUGCUGCUAGCUUUUGCUGGUAUAGUCACUUCUUAGAGGGACUAUCGAUUUCAAGU